rnacentral:precursor_RNA from 16 species
GAUGUGUGAACAUUUGUGUUGGACCCCUUUCAAGGCAAAUUGCUGCAAUACUUUGUAUCCUGCAAGUAUUGCACUUUUUUGCUUUGAAAGGUGUUCUGACAUUUUCAGCGCUCCUGUA